GACGAACCGAGCGAACGUUGUUCGGAAUCACUGGGCUUAAAGGGCGCGUAGGCGGGUGCUCAAGUCCGGGGUGAAAUCCCUCAGCUUAACUGGGGAACUGCGUCUGAUACUGGAUGGCUUGAGUUUGGGAGAGGGAUGCGGAAUUCCAGGUGUAGCGGUGAAAUGCGUAGAUAUCUGGAGGAACACCGGUGGCGAAGGCGGCAUCCUGGACCAAUACUGACACUGAGGAGCGAAAGCCAGGGGAGCAAACGGG
rnacentral:rRNA from 1 species